AAAGUGGCGAACGGCUGAGUAACACGUGGGCAACCUGCCCUUUGCACUGGGAUAGCCUCGGGAAACCGAGGUUAAUACCGGAUACUCCAUAUUUGUCGCAUGGCGAAUAUGGGAAAGCUCCGGCGGCAAAGGAUGGGCCCGCGGCCUGUUAGCUAGUUGGUGGGGUAGUGGCCUACCAAGGCAAUGAUGGGUAGCCGGGUUGAGAGACCGACCGGCCAGAUUGGGACUGAGACACGGCCCAGACUCCUACGGGAGGCAGCAGCA
rnacentral:rRNA from 1 species